rnacentral:rRNA from 1 species
UACGAAGGGGGGCUAGCGUUGCUCGGAAUCACUGGGCGUAAAGCGCACGUAGGCGGAUUGCUAAGUCAGGGGUGAAAUCCUGGAGCUCAACUCCAGAACUGCCUUUGAUACUGGCGAUCUCGAGUCCGGGAGAGGUGAGUGGAACUGCGAGUGUAGAGGUGAAAUUCGUAGAUAUUCGGAGGAACACCAGUGGCGAAGGCGGCUCACUGGUCCAUUACUGACGCUGAGGUGCGAAAGCGUGGGGAGCGAACAGG